ACAGCGGGUGUAAGGUAGAGGUGUAAGUCAGUGAUGACGGUGGAACACACAGUGCCUUCGGAAAGUAUUCAGACCCCUUGACUCAUCCCAUAUUUUGUUACGUUACAGGCUUAUUCUAAAAUGGAUUAACCAAAAAAUGAAAAACUCAAUCUAAGCACAAUAACCAAUAGUGACAAAGCGAAAACAGGUUUUCAUAAAUCUUGGCAAAUGUAUUACAAAUUCAAUGUUAAAUUCAAUUGAUUGGACAUGAUUCGGAAAGACAUACACAUGUCUAUAUAAGUUCCCAUAGUUGACAGUUCAUGUCAGAGCAAAAACCAAGCCGUGAGGUGGAAGGAAUUGUCUUAGAGAUUCGAGACAGGAUUGCGUCCAGGCACAGAUAUGGGGAAGGGUACAAAAACAUUUAUGCAGCAUUGAAGGUCCCCAAGAACCACAGUGUUGUCCGUCAUUGUUAAAUGGAAUAAGUUUGGAACCAGCUGGCCGCCCUGCUAAACCGAGCAGUCGGGGGAGAAGGGCCUUGGUCAGGGAGGUGACCAAGAACCCGAUGGUCUAGAGCUCUAGAGUUCCUCUGGAAAUGGGAGGACCUUCUAAAAAGGACAGCCAUGUCUGCAGCACUCAAACAAUCAAGCCUUUAUGGUAGAGUGGCCACACGGAAGCCCCUCCUCAGAAAAGGGCACCUGACAACCCGCUUGGAGUUUUCCAAAAGGAAUUCUAAAUAGUCUCAAACAAAAUUCUCUGGUCUGAUGAACAGCCAAGACAAUGCAGGAGUGGCUUCGGGACAAGUCUGUGAAUGUCCUUGAGUGGCUCAGCCAGAGCCCGGACUUGAACCUGAUAGAACAUCUCAGGAGAGACCUGUGUGCAGCAACGCUCCCCAUCCAACCUGACAGAAAUUGAGAGGAUCUGCAGAGAAGAAUGGGUGAAACUCCCCAAAUACAGGUGUUCCAAGCUUGUAGCGUCAUACCCAAUAAGACUUAAGGCUGUAAAUGCUGCCAAAGGUGCUUCAACACAGUACUGAGUAAAGGGUCUGAAUACUUAUGUAAAUGUAAUAGUUUUACAUUUUUCAUAAAUGAGAAAAAAAACAUGAUUUAAUCCAUUUCAGAAUAAGAAUUAAGAAAGAGGGGAGAGGAACACUGGAGGUCUAAAGGAGGGAGAGGUAAGAGAGAGAUGUAAUAAAGACGGAGGGAGAGGUAGAGAGAGAUGAAAUAAAGACUGAGGGAGAGGUAGAGAGAGAUGAAAUAAAGACGGAGGGAGAGGUAGAGAGAGAUGAAAUAAAUACGGAGGGAGAGGUAGAGAGAGAUGAAAUAAAUACGGAGGGAGAGGUAGAGAGAGAUGAAAUAAAGACGGAGGGAGAGGUAGAGAGAGAUGAAAUAAAUACGGAGGGA